CAAGCAAAGCAAUACCCUUCAAGAUGGAAACUACACGUUAAAAAAACAUGACCGCGAUCCCUCCGACAACUUCCUUUUUCAAGGCGAGGUCUUGCUGCCCUAAGUCGCUGCGGCGGCGUACGUUAAAGCCUUGUACUCUGCCGGCUGCGCUGAAAGUCACCAGAUGGGCUCUGGUGAGAUGGCGAGAAUCUUAUUAAGGAAGAAAACAGAAGUCCAUUUUAUUAAGGGUAAAGAGAAAUUCUACACUGAUGAAAUACCUGUGUGUAUUAUUUUAGUUUUCCAUCGUGGCAGCUGUUUUAACCCCUCUGGUUGAUGAGCGAGUCGAAGCCUUCGGCCAUCACGUCAGCACUGGGGUGGAUGGUAGUUCAAGUCUGGACUUACAGCGCAGAGGUGGCACGUGCCCAAAUUACAAUUUUAUAACUCUUUUUUCCCUCAACUUUAAGCACGGUAGUACCUUCAGGACUACCACCUUCAAGCUGGUGGGAUAUAUGAUACUGGCCUGUGUAAGCAAAAAAAAUUCAGGAAAAUGUGGUGGCUUAGUGUGGCUCUCCAGUAGCUGUAUAAUUACAGCAAAGUUCUGCAAUAAAACCUGUGUGGGCUAGGCUAUCAUAUUCAGCUCUUUUGUGUCUUCCCUCUCAGAAAGGCAAGGUGAAAAAACUCCCACUUAAAAAAAAAAAAAAUCAGUUUAUCAUUUUCAUCUUGACAAAUUAUCUUGGGAUAUUAAAAAAGUGCCAGCAUAGUACUGAGGAUAUGAGAAAUGCCAGUAUAUUCAAUUUGUCUGAACAAGGAAAAAUAGAUGAAAAAAACAGAUGAAAAAAACAAGAAAUGGGGCACCUCAAUUUCCAGGUGCAUUCGUAAUUCCCACUCUUUAUUUCCCAAACGUGUAACCAUUGUUGUUACUCUACUGUGAUAAAUAUAAAUUAGAUGUCAUAUAAAAGUCUCUAAAUUACCAUUCACAUUCAAAAGGCCAUGGCAAGAUUAAUGCAUAUAAUUCUCCAAUUUUGGUCUUUCAUGGUAGGCUUUUUUAAAUUAGAUGAAAGCUUUUGAAGUGAGUCGCUAUACGUUGCCAGCAAAUAAUUUCAUUCCUGCCUGUACCUAUCUAUUCAGCCAUUUAAAUUACCUAACAAACAUUAUAUGUAUACCAUCUUAUCAGCAUUUAGAGAAAAUUAAUCCCAAAAUUUUGUUCUUACUCGUUGUUGCAGUAUGGGCUACGCAACAGCUUACCGGUAAACAUGAGUUGAAGGCAGGCCAUUAUAAUUUAAACAGAAAAGAAAAAAAUUGAAUAUUUUAUUGUAAGUUAAAUUAAAUUAAAUCUCUCUCCUUCAGCCUUCUUGGUGGUUUUGGUGAACAUGUUAUUAAUCCUUGUCUAUUUGGUAAUAUGUUAGGUGUUCUUCGCCUGAGAAAUACCCACGGCUUAAGUAGUUUUUCAUUUUUGGUACAGUGGAGGUUGUUAUUGGUACAGGGAGAUUGUUAUUAGCUUCUGAUUGUCAUCAAGGUCAAGAAUUAGUGCCAACAGGCACUGAACAAACAUACUGGGGAAAAAAAAAAAAAAAAUCUGCUCCGGAUGAGUUAUUAUCCAGAUAGCAGGGGAAAUAUGGAAAUUUUACAGGUGAAAACCAAAGACAGUCAUAGAUGUGACCCCAAGUCAUCGAAGGUUAUGGCAAAAGGAAGGGCAUAUUUAUAGUGGGUGGGAGGAGCAGAAAAAGGACAAGAUUCUUUUGCGCAUGGUUUUAUUUCAGUAAAACAUUUUGGUUUUGUAACAUUUAACUGCUUAGAAAAUCUAUUGUCUUUUUUUUUUCAAAAGCUCUCUUAAAAGAAUACAAAAUAAAUAUUGCAAAAUCGAAACUAUCCAGCAUUUGUACUAUGGCAUUUCCAUCUUUUCUCUCAUUUUAAAAUGACUUCAUAAAAAUGAUUCCCUUAUGUUUUUAGCAUUAUUUUUAAAGUUUGGAGCAUUGAAAAAGCCAAACAGCAAAAGCUAGUGCUUUUCAGUCUUUCUUUAGCUGAACAUUUCAAAACGCAUUUAUUUUCUUAACCAGUUGUUCGGUGUUUUCAGUGCUGCCCUAGUUCUUUUCCUCAGCUGUCCGCCUGACUCUCACUGCAAAAAUGGUUCAGCUGGUUAUGAACAGCAAGUUACAGAAAUGUGGAAAACGUAAUGGAUUAUCUUAAGGAAAACCAAAUGGACGCCAGUUUAUCUUAAAAAAUCAGGCAGUAUUGGGGGUGAGCAUGUAUCUGGUUCCUAAACAACCGACGCACCGCUGCUAGGGAGGUCUAGAGCUUCCACGGCAGGAGAGAAGCCGUUAGAGCAGGCACUCCGGUAUGUGGCGCGAAGGAUGGUCUGCAAAAAAUUACCCUGGCGCAAUCGGAAAGCAGAAAGGUCUGCGGGCUGCAAAACCACAGGGUGAAAGCCACUGCCGCCCGGGAUCUUGGCCGUCCGCUGCAGGACCUCAGGCGGACGUGUUUUCUGGUGACUGGCCGUUUUGCCACGGCAUCUCCUAAAGCUGCCCCUACCCCGCGGGGAGCUGCUGUGCCAGCGGAUUCCUGGCACGGAGACGGACAGAAGCCGCCUCAGACGUGCUGCCCAUGCAACGGUGGCUGCUCCUGCACCGGGACGGUGGCCCGGGCUGGUGCACUGGUGCUAAAUCCUGGCUCUGAAGCCUCAGUCUGGACCGCUGUGUUUCCUUUCAGUAGUCGCUACCUGAGGAAUCAAGCUUCCUGAACGAAAAUGUGACUUGUGACAAGUUUUGCGCACCUGCUCUGUGCUAUAAAAUGCGUAGCAGUACUGCACCAAACGGAAAUUUAGGGAUGGACAUAAUAGCUCAGCACCAUCAGACACAGCCACGACGUAGGCUCCGGAUCUGCUUAUUUUAGAAAAUAUUUCUGAGGAGAUGCUUGGCUAUGCACUGGGGUUUGUUCUAUGGAUUAUUAACAUUUCACCUAAGAAAGAAACUAUGACCCCUAGCAUUUUCAGUGAGAGGUGAGGUUUUGCUACAGUAUAAGAAACCUAGUCUGAAAUGAUAUUACAGGAGAAAUCAAUGUUUAACAGGUUUGACUGAGAACAAAAUCAAGGCUGUUUCUAUAUGUCUAGAUUUCAGGAAGCUAGGUAAUACUUGGAUGAUUGACACAUACCUGUUUCCACACAUUAAAAAAAGUAUUUGCGGAACUUCACGACUCUUCUCAAUGUCUGCAGAAUGCGCAUCACCAAACUACAUUGCUUAAAUGCAGCAGGGAUCUUCCCACAUGUAUUGGUUACAGUGGAUUUUCUGUUUAAAACAUAAGCCCUAUCAACUUGUUUGGGAUCCCGCUGUCAUGCUGAGAGUGGAGCCGAUGGCUGUUAUUAGUCUACUUGGCAUUCAGAGCUCUGUGGCUGCUGUUGCUCGGUGAAGGACUCCUGGGUUCAAAACAAGAAAAAAAAGGGCUGUAUUCAUCUUCGGGAAUAUCCCAUUCCUAAUAACUGUAGUACCAUUGGAGGCAUACGGACCUUUACCUAAAAUGCUUCCAUCAACUUCAAGUGAACCUUUUAGAUAGUUCGAUAUUUGUGUCACUAGAUUAGAAUGAUUUUUUUUUUUUCAUACUCCUCCUUGUUCUCCUUGGUAAUAGAGGGUGUGGUGUGAAACACGUUACCAUUGUCAAGUGACUGCUAAGGACAUGUUGGUUCUCAUGUCUUUAAAAAUCUGUGAAAAUAUCCUUACAGAUGACAGCAGUUAGGGAUUAUCCUCAGUAUUCAGCAGGAGCAAUCUUAUUUUCCCAGAAACCUUCUUCUGGACCUUCCAGAUGUUAUUGGAGGUUAGGACUGCCAACCAAAUUAAAUUGAACUCCUCAGGACAGGGUUCAGUUCUACUUCAUUUAAAAUGGUGAGCACUGCCAAAGAGAGAAUGUGUCUGUUGUGGAGAAUGACCCACAUAGUCACUACAAAUACUUUCUGUAAUGACACCUGUGUAACUGCCCCGCUUCUCCUGCACUGACUAGAGGGAAAUACAGAAGAACUUACAUUUCUAAUGACUAGACAUUACUUUUUCUCAAACAUUUGCAGCAACAGGAAAAAGGAUGGCCAGAGAAAAGUGAGCUAUGGUCUAAAGGUCAGAGUUAUUACAGGUUGAUCAGAGUCGAUGACCUCUGUUUUGUGAGGUUGUCUGAUUUCUGCAGUUAACAUUCACUUCACUGUAGCUUGCGCACUGCGAAUUUGGGCAUGAAAGCCAGCUUUUGCAUGUUUCCCUAUGGCAAUAACGUAUUUGCUGUGUGUCCUGCCUUCAGCAUAGGGUCAGCAAAUACAGUGAAGAAACCACUUAAUGCUUUUGAUGUCUAAAGAGGAGAGAAAAAUGCUUGGCUCAGUGACGUAGAUUUUCAGAAUAAAAACAUAUCAUCAGAAAAAUCCAUGUGAUCAAAAUUCAGUUUUGGUGCCACUUUUGAAGAAAUUGCAGGGGAAGAGAUGAGCAGCAGGCACUGAUUUCUGCUUAAAACUGGAGAGGGGGUGUUGGAAUAGCUAAUAGUAUACUGGUAUCUGACUGGAACGAGAGGAAUCAGGCUUCUGGUGCCUGCUCACACGAAAACACGGGUGGCUGUACAAAGGCAGGAUCUCCCAGAGAAGACAGAGGGUAAGAAGUAGCCGUGUGGGUACGGCAGUCUCCGCGCCAAUGAGCAUGGUGGAGCAGUAGCUUGAACAUGGAUCUCUGACCUCGCAUAUUUAUGUUAAAUCUUCGAGGCCACACUGAGGGCAUAUGUCUUGAAUAGUAAAUCCUGGGCCCUUCUUUCAGGAUCAGCCUAUCCAAGACUUCCUCCCACAGCGUUAUUCCUAUCAUCUCCUUUAUAUCCAAGUUUUAUUUUUUGUAUGGACAUUCAGACAAAUGCUAUCCCAUUAAUGUCAAUCUAUCACUCUCUCAUGAGAAAGAGUAUCUGAUGGUAGAGAUGACACACACUAUGAAUUCCUUCUGCGGAGAAGAUGGCUAAUUUCCCUUCUUCCCCUCUCCCUCUUU